rnacentral:rRNA from 1 species
GACGAACGCUGGCGGCGUGCUUAACACAUGCAAGUCGAACGGUAAGGCCUUUCGGGGUACACGAGUGGCGAACGGGUGAGUAACACGUGGGUGAUCUGCCCUGCACUUCGGGAUAAGCCUGGGAAACUGGGUCUAAUACCGGAUAGGACCCUGGGAUGCAUGUCCUGGGGUGGAAAGCUUUUGCGGUGUGGGAUGGGCCCGCGGCCUAUCAGCUUGUUGGUGGGGUGAUGGCCUACCAAGGCGACGACGGGUAGCCGGCCUGAGAGGGUGACCGGCCACACUGGGACUGAGAUACGGCCCAGACUCCUACGGGAGGCAGCAGUGGGGAAUAUUGCACAAUGGGCGCAAGCCUGAUGCAGCGACGCCGCGUGAGGGAUGACGGCCUUCGGGUUGUAAACCUCUUUCAGCACCGACGAAGCGCAAGUGACGGUAGGUGCAGAAGAAGGACCGGCCAACUACGUGCCAGCCGCCGCAGUAA